GACGAACGCUGGCGGCGUGCCUAAUACAUGCAAGUAGAACGCUGAAGGAGGAGCUUGCUUCUCUGGCUGAGUUGCGAACGGGUGAGUAACGCGUAGGUAACCUGCCUGGUAGCGGGGGAUGACUAUUGGAAGCGAUAGCUAAUACCGCAUAAGAGUGGAUGUCGCAUGACAUUUGCUUAAAAUGUGCAAUUGCAUCACUACCAGAGGGACCUGCGUUGUAUUAGCUAGUUGGUGAGGUAACGGCUCACCAAGGCAACGAUACAUAGCCGACCUGAGAGGAUGAACGGCCACACUGGGACUGAGACACGGCCCAGACUCCUACGGGAGGCAGCAGUAGGGAAUCUUCGGCAAUGGACGGAAGUCUGACCGAGCAACGCCGCGUGAGUGAAGAAGGUCUUCGGGUCGUAAAGCUCUGUUGUACGAGAAGAAAGGGUGUGAUGCUAGAAAGGUCACACUGUGACGGUACCUGACUAGAAAGCGACGGCUAACUACGUG
rnacentral:rRNA from 1 species